GUAUCGGGAUGCUUACCAUGCAGUCGAGGGGUAACAUUGUGCUUGCACAGAUGACGACCGGCGCACGGGUGCGUAACGCGUAUAGAACCUACCUUUUACAGAGGGAUAGCCUUUAGAAAUGAAGAUUAAUACCUUAUGGUAUUGUAGACUGGCAUCAGUUUAUAAUUAAAGAUUUAUCGGUAAAAGAUGGCUAUGCGUCCUAUUAGUUAGAUGGUAAGGUAACGGCUUACCAUGACAUCGAUAGGUAGGGGUCCUGAGAGGGAGAUCCCCCACACUGGUACUGAGACACGGACCAGACUCCUACGGGAGGCAGCAGUGAGGAAUAUUGGGCAAUGGAGGCGACUCUGACCCAGCCAUGCUGCGUGUAGGAAGAAUGCCCUAUGGGUUGUAAACUACUUUUAUACAGGAAGAAACACUGGUAUGUAUACCAGCUUGACGGUACUGUAAGAAUAAGGACCGGCUAACUCCGUGCCAGCAGCCGCGGUAAC
rnacentral:rRNA from 1 species